UACGAAGGGGCUAGCGUUGCUCGGAAUCACUGGGCGUAAAGCGCACGUAGGCGGCUUUUUAAGUCAGGGGUGAAAUCCUGGAGCUCAACUCCAGAACUGCCUUUGAUACUGAGAAGCUUGAGUCCGGGAGAGGUGAGUGGAACUGCGAGUGUAGAGGUGAAAUUCGUAGAUAUUCGCAAGAACACCAGUGGCGAAGGCGGCUCACUGGCCCGGUACUGACGCUGAGGUGCGAAAGCGUGGGAGCAACAGG
rnacentral:rRNA from 1 species